rnacentral:ncRNA from 1 species
ACGCGGAGAUGCCACCAGGCCUCUGACCGGCUGGCCCCUGACGUACUUCCCCAACGCCAGGUUCCGUCGGCCAGGGACCCGAUGGCAUCUCUUUAUCUGC